rnacentral:rRNA from 1 species
AUACGGAGGAUGCGAGCGUUAUCCGGAUUUAUUGGGUUUAAAGGGAGCGUAGGUGGGAUAUUAAGUCAGCUGUGAAAGUUUGGGGCUCAACCUUAAAAUUGCAGUUGAUACUGGUUUCCUUGAGUACGGUACAGGUGGGCGGAAUUCGUGGUGUAGCGGUGAAAUGCUUAGAUAUCACGAAGAACUCCGAUCGCGAAGGCAGCUCACCGGGCCGGAACUGACACUGAUGCUCGAAAGUGCGGGGAUCAAACAGGAUUAGAUACCCUGGUAGUCCGCACAGUAAACGAUGAAUACUCGCUGUUUGCGAUAUACAGUAAGUGGCGCAGCGAAAGCGUUCAGUAAUCCACCUGGGGAGUACGCCGGCAACGGUGAAACUCAAAUGAAUUGACGGGG